GAUGAAGAACGCAGCGAAAUGCGAUACUUGGUGUGAAUUGCAGAAUCCCGUGAACCAUCGAGUCUUUGAACGCAAGUUGCGCCCGAAGCCAUUAGGCCGAGGGCACGCCUGCCUGGGCGUCACACGUCGUUGCCCCCCCAUCUACUCCUUCGGGAUUGCGGGGGGCGGAUGAUGGCCUCCCGUGCGCCUCGUCGCGCGGUUGGCAUAAAUGCCAAGUCCUCGGCGACGCACGCCACGACAAUCGGUGGUUGCGAAACCUCGGUUGCCCGUCGUGUGCGGUCGUCGCGCAUCGAGGGCUCGAAAAAAUUGUCGGGCUCCGGCUCGGCUUUCAACGCGACCCCAGGUCAGGCGGGGUUACCCGCUGAAUUUAAGCAUAUCAAUAAGCGGUGGA
rnacentral:misc_RNA from 1 species